rnacentral:rRNA from 1 species
CCUACGGGAGGCAGCAGUGGGGAAUAUUGGACAAUGGGGGCAACCCUGAUCCAGCCAUGCCGCGUGUGUGAAGAAGGCCCUCGGGUUGUAAAGCACUUUCAGUGAGGAAGAACGCCUGGUGGUUAAUACCGAUCAGGAAAGACAUCACUCACAGAAGAAGCACCGGCUAACUCCGUGCCAGCAGCCGCGGUAAUACGGAGGGUGCGAGCGUUAAUCGGAAUUACUGGGCGUAAAGCGCGCGUAGGUGGCUUGAUAAGCCGGUUGUGAAAGCCCCGGGCUCAACCUGGGAACGGCAUCCGGAACUGUCAAGCUAGAGUGCAGGAGAGGAAGGUAGAAUUCCCGGUGUAGCGGUGAAAUGCGUAGAGAUCGGGAGGAAUACCAGUGGCGAAGGCGGCCUUCUGGACUGACACUGACACUGAGGUGCGAAAGCGUGGGUAGCAAACAGGAUUAGAUACCCUAGUAGUC